UUGUUGCAAGACGCCAUGACUCGCAACGUGACGGUCUGCGAGAAGCCUGGUGCUAGAGUCAUGAGUGAGACCAAGCUGAGGGCUCUGGAGAUGAAAGACUUCUUUGCUGUCUUCGCUAUUUUCCUCGGAGGCAUGAUUGCGUCUGCCAUAAUCUUCGUUAUGGAAGUGAUUCUACAUUCUGCUACACGAAAUACAACUGGCACGAGACCUGAUGGUUCAUGGUAGAAUAUUAGGACAUUUGCAUGGAAGACUCCAGAAUUGAAUCCCCAAACAAAACCGACCUAGAACUAUCAAGUUGACUUUAACGCAAGGUACUAUACAUGGAGCAAAGCAGACUGACUCUCAAGAUCCUUGAUAUUUACAGCACUGACUUCUCAUUGGACUGGUGCGAAAGUUUUACAUGAAAUUCUACUAAAUUCAUUAUUAGACCUAGAAAAAAUGAUUGCUAUUCCGAACUAAAUUCCGCAAUUGAACGAAUCCUGGGCGCGUUCCCAAAGCUCUUAAAACGAUGUCUGUUUUACAUUGUGAAUGUAUUUUCCAGCUGUCAUAAAAGCUCGGGCGUUAUAUUGUAAUUACAGGCUCUGCAGA